rnacentral:lncRNA from 1 species
UUGGAAAUAAUCACAAAUUAUAUAUGAAUUAACUUGAAUAUCUUCAUGUUUAGAAUCAUGUACAGAGAAAUGAAGGAUUCUGAUAAAGAAAAGGAAAAUGGAAAAAUGGUAAGUUAUUUUAGAACAUUGGUUUACUCUUGGCUAUUUAGUUAAAAGAAGAAAGAUAGUAAAACUAACACAGUAUUGCAGUUGAACGUUGAAGGGAAUAAUGACUAACAUGGAAUUCUUUAGAUUAGACCAAGUGCAUGAUCUUAAAGCUACCUCAUGUAAUGCAUGUGAAAUAUCAUAGACUUUAUAAUUGGGAAAGGCCAACAUUUGGUUUUUCCUGUUGUAGGGUUGCUGGUCUAUAGAGCAUGUGGAGCAGUACCUUGGCACUGAUGAAUUACCAAAGAAUGACUUGAUAACCUACCUGCAGAAGAAUGCAGACGCUGCUUUCCUGCGCCACUGGAAAUUAACUGGCACUAAUAAAAGUAUUAGGAAAAACAGAAAUUGUUCUCAGCUCAUAGCUGCAUAUAAGGAUUUUUGUGAGCAUGGAACAAAGUCUGGGUUAAACCAGGGGGCCAUUUCUACU